GAUCUUGUGAGGAGGCGCCUCACGGGAGUGGAAACAAGGUGACACUCCUGAAACGCGUUCUG
rnacentral:ncRNA from 1 species